UACGUAGGUGGCAAGCGUUGUCCGGAUUUACUGGGCGUAAAGGGAGCGCAGGCGGCGCGCCAAGUCUGAUGUGAAACCCCGGGGCUCAACCCCGGGCAUGCAUUGGAAACUGGCGGGCUGGAGUGCCGGAGAGGUAAGCGGAAUUCCUAGUGUAGCGGUGAAAUGCGUAGAUAUUAGGAGGAACACCAGUGGCGAAGGCGGCUUACUGGACGGCAACUGACGCUGAGGCUCGAAAGCGUGGGGAGCAAACAGG
rnacentral:rRNA from 1 species